AUCCAUUUAUGCUACAAAUGUCCUAGUGGGACUGUCAAAACCAAACUGGCUUUAGUUGGGAAAGGAUUGACAUUUGACAGCCAAAGAGAAGCCAGGUGCUUCUGUUUCACUAGCUUAAAGACGAAGACCGAAUAAAUUGAUAAGAUGAUUCCGCUCCAACAAAAAAGCAUCAUUGAAGGAGAGCAAAGAGAUGAAACUGAUAUUUUCAAUGAGGUUCUUGGAAUAAGAUUUAAAAGAAGAAUUCCGGAAGAUGCAAGCAGAUUACGAAUUAUUCCAACAAGAGAUAUCGAUUCAAAUCAUGAACCAAAUUGACCUGGAUGAAGAAGGGUUUCAAG